ACGCUCGACACCUACGGGUGGCAGCAGUGGGGAAUAUUGCACAAUGGGGGAAACCCUGAUGCAGCAACGCCGCGUGAAGGAAGACGGUUUUCGGAUUGUAAACUUCUGUUCUUAGUGAAGAUAGUGACGGUAGCUAAGGAGCAAGCCACGGCUAACUACGUGCUAGCAGCCGCGGUAAUCUGAGCGGGCUGGCAAGGC
rnacentral:rRNA from 1 species